AGGGAGGCACAACUUGUGGAUGAACAUAAAAAGUAGGAGCUUCAGAUGGGGGUGGCACCGCAAAAUCAUGAACAACAGGUGGAGCCGAGUAUGUGGUAGUCUUGGAUUGGGGAGUGAGGAAAUGAACAUUAAAAGUGGCUGGAUAUUGUUACCCCAGAGUCGAUCCUGAUGCAUAUUGUGGCAUAUCAACAAAAAUGGAAAAUUAUGCAUGUG
rnacentral:lncRNA from 1 species